rnacentral:lncRNA from 10 species
CUGGGUUAUUGGAAGUCAUGGAGCCCCUGUCAUGGGAAGAAAUGCUCACGUUAUCUUCAGGGAGUUUCAGGAGGUUUUUGGCUCAAGGCACCCAACUGUCAGGCACAAAGAAAGCAUUGUGUCCCUACCCUCACUGCUCUCCUGUGCCCAGGUUAUUAACACAAAUUCCAUUAUUGUCAAGGCUUUGGCUAGAAUGGCUUGUUCCUGCUGGGGCUGACCAUUAGAACUGAGAUGGAGGAACAAAAGCUCCCCCGAUCCCGAUCCUAACCUUCCACCCAGUCCCCUCCCACUCCCCAGGUCCCAUAAAGUGGCGGGAGCAUCGUAGCGUAGGAAGAAGCCGCCACACCUUCCUCCAUAACCUGGGAGGAUGGAAGAGCUCUUCGAAGCUUUGCUCUUCGUGUCCCCCUGAAACAAGGGUUACUGUGAGUCUUGCACACAAGGAACAUGCGCUCCAAGGUUCCUAGCCAGGUGGGUGCUCUGCAAAGUUAGGGCAAAGAGAGUCUGGCCACAUGCAGCCUCUCCACUGGAGAAGGAUUUUCAUCUGCCAGGUGGCGGGGCCCUUAGCCUCGUUAAUCCUGCUUAAUCCUGCUAGAACAUACCUACAGGGAGCCCACUUUCCACGCAGAGCAUCCCUUGAAGGAGGGGCUUCCCAGAAUGCUGAGGAUUCUGGGCUUCUCAGACUCCGAUCAGAUGCACCUCAGCCCUGGGAUCAGUGCCCCAGCCCUGCCUGCCAGUUUCCUUUUUCACUUCACCAUGAGCAUAAGUUUGGGUGGGAACUCAGCCUGUUCAUUCACUUCAUACUGAGUUCCCACUCUGUGCCAGGGCCUGACCUGUGCACUGCCAAAAGAGCAGGGAACAGCAAAACCCUUUCCUCCCACCGUGGGCCUUGGAGAAUGAAUGCAGGGGGUGGCCACGGGUAGUCGUCUGGGGCUUGGUUCUCCCUGAGCUAACCUCGCCAGCCUGGCCCAGCUUGCCCUGAUCCCCUGAUGGUCCGUGCACAUGUGUUUAUACUUGCAUUGUUGACUGGGGUCCAAUUGCCUUUUUGGCAAAGGCAUCAAGCAUUCAAAGAUGUUCAGAUCUUUUCUGUCUGGCUCUUUUCCUCGGAAUGAGGCUCCAGUGUGUCCCUUUAGUCCCUUAGCCAUUAUCUGAGAGGCUAGAAUUCUGGCAGUGUCCCCGUGCAUCUUUCCCCAGUGGAGGAGAGAACUCUCGGACCAGUGAGCUAGAGAAGCAACCCACCCCGGCCGCUGGAAGCAGGGGAGGUGAAAUGUGUCCAAACUCCUCUCAGGCUGUCAGAUGGCCUUGAGCGGCACCAAGUAGAAAACGCGCUCCCACCCCUGACCUUCUCCUCAGCUUCAUUGUGAGACCUCAAGUUCCUCAGCUUCCAGGAUGAUCAACCUAGCUGAAAACCUGAAGUCCCUCCCGGUACAAGUCCAAGCAGUCCCCAGCCAGGGAGACCAGGUGUUGUCUGACAUCCCACACACAUCGGCACACUUGGGGGAUUGCAAAAGGGAGGAAGGGAGCCAAAGGCUAGGGCCCCGGGGUUCAGCUAACACUCAGCACCCCUCCCAAAGAGCGCCCCCUGUGUGUUCUGGAUCUCUAGAGGGGUUUGGUUUGGGCCAAGUAGUGCUUAGUUUUAAUUUUCUCUUUCUGGAAAUAAAUACUUUUAAUAAGUAAAGAUGCUGCUCAGCUGUCAUAUCCUGCAAGGUUAGAGGAAAGAUGUGGGCCGUGCGCGGUGGCUCAUGCCUGUAAUCCCAGCACUUUGGGAGGCCAAGGCAGGCAGAUCACUUGAGGCCAGGAGUUCAAGACCAGCCCAGGCAACAUGGUGACCCCAUCUCUACC